UACAGGGGGUGCAAACGUUGCUCGGAAUCAUUGGGCGUAAAGCGCACGUAGGCGGUCUGUUAUGUCGGAUGUGAAAGCCCUUGGCUUAACUGAGGAAGUGCAUCCGAAACUGGCAGGCUAGAGUACUAAAGAGGGUCGCGGAAUUCCCGGUGUAGAGGUGAAAUUCGUAGAUAUCUGGAGGAAUACCGGUGGCGAAGGCGGCAUUCUGGACCGACAUUGACACUAAAGCGCGAAAGCCAGGGGAGCAAACGGG
rnacentral:rRNA from 1 species